AGCCUCGCGGCGGGGGAAACCCGAGCUCCCAACAAAACGGUUCCAUCUUUGGCUAGGCCUUUGGUAUUUCAAGGCGCUGCCGGUGGGGAGAGAUGCCGCGUGCCUGAGAGGCUCUGGGAGAUGUUAUGUGGUCAACAGGGACUGAGGCUCUUUAAGCCCUUAAAUCUCUAAGGGCUAAAUCUCCUUCCUGAUAUUCGCCCCCAAACCGCCUAGUUUAUCUCCCGGGAGCUGAC
ensembl:lncRNA LINC02028 long intergenic non-protein coding RNA 2028